rnacentral:lncRNA from 1 species
AACAGCAAUGGCCUAAAUAACAAUGGUCUAAACAGCAAUGGCCUAAACAGCAAUGGUCUAAACAGCAAUGGCCUAAACAGCAAUGGCCUAAACAGACUGCAUUUAAAGUAUCAAUGUAUUCAUAUCGCUGAGGGAGAAAAAAAGGCAGCAGCAGCAAAAACAGGAAAUGCUGUUAAACAGAAAGUUCAUACCAAAUACGUCAGAAAGCCCCAGAACCGCAUACGCUUUAUUUCAAGAACUGCCAUCUCUAAGUUUAGCCUGAGCAACAAUUGGUUUACUGUCUACAGGCUUGGCUCUCACAAGUUGUGCGAUGAUUAUCCUACUAAUUAUUCUUGUUGUAAUUACUGCGACUGAGGAGCAUCCCACAGUUACAGCUAGAGAUCCGGUAUAUCCUGCACGCGUUUUUGGACCUUCUUCACAUGUUAAAGUGGGGGAAUGUUUUGAGGUGAAGUGCAGCACAUUUGGAACCAAGAAUGAAGGGGAAAAACGCUUUGUUUACCUCUGCAAGAAUGGAGUCGCCAUAGAGAUGUCCCAGACCAAAAGUCAAGCCUCCUUUUUCCUAAUGAAAAGUGCUACUAAAGAACAUUCAGGAAACUACAGCUGUGUGUCCUCCAGAACAGAACAGAAUGUCAGUGAGGUGAAAGGAGAUGGAGAGAAUUCCAUCUUCAUCCAAGUGAUUGAUAGAGUAUACCCAGCAGUGAUAGCUGGUGAAACAUCUGUGAGAUCAGGGACAGAUGUGGAUUUCAACUGCACCUCAGAAGAUGCCCCAGACACAGGCCUCCUUUUGGCAUUCCUCUGGAGGAAUCAAACCAUCGUUGACAUUGAAAUGUGGAAUUCUCAGCAGAAACAGGCUAGUUUCCAUCUAAUAGGAGUCCAGGAGAGAGACUCGGGCAACUAUAGCUGUGUGGUAUCAGAGCGACCGCUUGCUGCAACAGAGUUGGACAUGUGUGGAGGGAAUUCAGUCUUCCUGCAGGUUUACGGUAAGAAUUGCAAAAAUAUUAACACCAUGCCUCAAACUAAAGUUAGACAGUAGGCUGUGUGGGACAUGUGUUGUAGUGUUUAUUAUGAGAAGGCUAAUAUGUGAGUACAUGCAGAGUAUACAAUUCUUACAGGCAGUGCCUCUGCAAGCUCUGUAUCUUAAAGCAAAUCCUACACCAA